CCUGGCUCAGGAUGAACGCUAGCGGCAGGCUUAAUACAUGCAAGUCGUGGGGCAGCAGGUUUGUAGCAAUACAGAUGCUGGCGACCGGCAAACGGGUGCGGAACACGUACAGAACCUUCCUUUGAGCGGGGAAUAGCCCAGAGAAAUUUGGAUUAAUACCCCAUAGUAUAAUGAAGUGGCAUCACUUUAUUAUUAAAGAUUUAUCACUCGAAGAUGGCUGUGCGGCUGAUUAGGUAGUUGGCGGGGUAAAGGCCCACCAAGCCUGCGAUCAGUAACUGGUGUGAGAGCACGACCAGUCACACGGGCACUGAGACACGGGCCCGACUCCUACGGGAGGCAGCAGUAAGGAAUAUUGGUCAAUGGAGGCAACUCUGAACCAGCCAUGCCGCGUGGAGGAUGAAGGUCCUCUGGAUUGUAAACUUCUUUUAUAUGGGACGAAAAAAGGCUUUUCUAAGUCGUCUGACGGUACCAUAUGAAUAAGCACCGGCUAACUCCGUG
rnacentral:rRNA from 1 species